AAUUUUCACGGAGAAAUAUUAAAAAAUACAGCAAUGGCAGCUAUUAUUCGGACGUGUCUCGGAAAAAAAGGUAGAAUCGCGGUGCCCCUGAUAACUUGGUGCUGGAUCAUCUGAAAUCAAAAAAUCAAAGUUCAUUCGUUAGGUAACAGUCUUCCCCAGGUAACGCUGGGAGGGUUUUUCGAAAUUUCAAUUUUUCACUUUUUUGGAACACUUUGAAGAGAAAAUUAGCCGAUUUUGCGAAAAUUUGCGGCUAGGUAGAAUUGCGGUGCCCCUGAUAACUUGGUGCUCAAUCAUCUGAAAUAAAAAAAUUGAAGUUCAUUCGUUAGGUAACAGUUUUCCCCAGGUAACGCUGGGAGGGUUUUCCGAAAUUUCAAUUUUUCACUUUUUUGGAACACUUUGAAAGGAAAAUUAAUCGAUUUUGCGAAAAUUUGCGGCUAAUUUUCCAUUCAAAAUGUUCCAAAAAAGUGAAAAAUUGAAAUUUCGAAAAACCCUCCCAGCGUUACCUGGGGAAAACUGUUACCUAACGAAUGAACUUUAAUUUUUUGAUUUCAGAUGAUCCAGCACCAAGUUAUGAGCAAUUCUACUUUUUUCCGAGACACGUCCGAAUAAUUGCUGCCAUUGCCGUAUUUUUUAAUAUUUCUCCGUGAAAAUUUUAUACAAUAUUCUUCGAAUGUCAUACUUUAAUGUACUAUUGGUUUUAAUAAAGAGAUUUUAACUGUGUCGUCACAAAUAA